AGUGUUAUGUCGGUCUGCGUUUCCCCCGCCUUUACCUCAGCGUAAUUUAUGUUGCCUAGCAACAAUGAUAGCGAGCACAGAGCUGUGAAGCCGAACAAAUGGAGCCCUAAUGGCUUAUUUUCAUGUUUUAUAAUCUUGUUCAUUAUCCAGCCAUUUAAAUUGUUAAAGCCAUUGGGGAAACCCAGCAGGAGCUUGAAAACAACGUGCCGGGAGUCAGCUGUUCUCUCGGGGUUCAUCGCACCUCAACCCCCCGGUCAGCUGUGCGCUGACGAGGCGAGCCGGCAGUGAGCCCGGUGUCAGGGCAGCAGAACCGGACGUCUCCGAACACGUCGGAGCACGUGUGGAAUUAAGCGAAAUCUUGAUAAACCGAUAAGAUAUUUCAGGCUUUGCUACUUCCGUUACCUCAAUCUACUUUGACCCGCAAUGAAUCAUGGGAUAGGGUGGCCCACGAAGGAUACACCGGACCCAUCCUUCAUAUCUGGGGAAAAGAAGGACGCAUUUGCCGGACCUAUUUGGAGA